rnacentral:rRNA from 1 species
GAUGAACGCUGGCGGCGUGCCUAAUACAUGCAAGUCGAACGCUUCACUUCGGUGAAGAGUGGCGAACGGGUGAGUAAUACAUAAGUAACCUGGCAUCUACAGGGGGAUAACUGAUGGAAACGUCAGCUAAGACCGCAUAGGUGUAGAGAUCGCAUGAACUCUAUAUGAAAAGUGCUACGGGACUGGUAGAUGAUGGACUUAUGGCGCAUUAGCUGGUUGGUAGGGUAACGGCCUACCAAGGCGACGAUGCGCAGCCGACCUGAGAGGGUGACCGGCCACACUGGGACUGAGUCACGGCCCAGACUCCUACGGGAGGCAGCAGUAGGGAAUUUUCGGCAAUGGGGGAAACCCUGACCGAGCAACGCCGCGUGAAGGAAGAAGUAAUUCGUUAUGUAAACUUCUGUCAUAGAGGAAGAACGGUGGAUAUAGGGAAUGAUAUCCAAGUGACGGUACUCUAUAAGAAAGCCACGGCUAACUACGUGCCAGCCGCCGCCGUAA